UCUCCGUAGGUGAACCUGCGGAGGGAUCAUUACAGAGUUCGUGCCCUCGCGGGUCGAUCUCCCACCCUGUGUUAUUGCUACCUUUGUUGCUUUGGCGGGCCCGCCUCGGCUCCCGGCCCCGGCUGGUACGCGCCCGCCAGAGGACCCAAACCCUGAAAGUCAGUGUCGUAUGAGUACUAUAAAAUAGUUAAAACUUUCAACAACGGAUCUCUUGGUUCUG
rnacentral:misc_RNA from 1 species